CAACCUGGUUGAUCCUGCCAGUUAGUCAUACGCUCGUCUCAAAGAUUAAGCCAUGCAUGUCUAAGUAUAAAUCUCUUACUUUGAAACUGCGAACGGCUCAUUAUAUCAGUUAUAGUUUAUUUGAUAGUCCCUUACUACUUGGAUAACCGUAGUAAUUCUAGAGCUAAUACAUGCGUCAACACCUUUGGGUGGU
rnacentral:rRNA from 1 species